rnacentral:lncRNA from 1 species
AAUACACAACAACAUCAAUAGUAUGCCACUUCAUCAACAGUGCGAUAAAAUUUUCAAUUGGGCAUACAAAUAAAAAACAGAUGGGAAUCAUACAAUCCAAGUUAAGUCACUCAUUUUUCAAUUAAUAGUCAGGCAUACAAGAUUCACUUUCCUGGUCCAACGAGAUAGACCUACCAUCUGGAUCAGCUUCUGGAUGGUAUAAAUUGGUAAGUGGAAGUGCAAUUAAAAGCUUGCACUAUCAAACUGACCUAGGGAUGCAAACAUUAUUAGUGGAAAUGUGCUAGAUUCCAACAUCAGUGAGUGGAGAGGGACUUGGCAUAACUAUUAUAAUUGUUAGUUAUUGUGUAGCUACCAAUAAUAUUUGUAUCAAAAAGAAGCUUUGUCGGCGUGCAAUUUCCCUGCCAGUGCAUCAUCAUCCUGUCAGUAUUGUGCAUAAACCAGUACCACUGGGAGCCAUUGCCUGUGAUCUUUUUUGGAAACUCUCUUCACAAAGUUAGAGUCUCAUUCUAACAUUACUUAUCCAGGUUUCACUAUAUAAAUUUUCUAUCUCGCACCUAUUGCAACCAUCCACAAAUCCAUAGCACUAUGGCAGAUUCUCAGAGACACAACAAGAGAAGCAAAAUAGGGCCACAGGAAGAAAGAAUUAACUAUUAAGCAUAUACCUGCACACAUUCACCAAGCUAAUUAAAUCUCUGAGCAGCAACUUCACUUACAUCUAUUGCAAUGUCAUCUUCCUCUUCACAGUUGGCAGAAGCUAAAAACACGAAGGUUAGAGACAAACUGCCAAGACAUAUUAUGUUUUCUUAUAAGAAAAAAAUUGAUAUGAUUCGAUAAUACUUUACCUUGAUGACCAUAGAUCUAAUCUCGCGAACAUAAUUUUGCUUCUGCAUUUUCAGGGAAAAUUGAGCUUUGAUAUUUACCAAUAACACGACCUCCAAUGCUGAAAGCAGACUCAGAUACAACAGUGGUGAUAGGAAUACUUAACAAAU